rnacentral:rRNA from 1 species
UACGGAGGAUCCGAGCGUUAUCCGGAUUUAUUGGGUUUAAAGGGUGCGCAGGCGGGAUAUUAAGUCGGCGGUGAAAGUUUGCAGCUUAACUGUAAAAUUGCCGUUGAUACUGGUAUUCUUGAGUGUAUAUGAAGUAGGCGGAAUUUGUAGUGUAGCGGUGAAAUGCAUAGAUAUCACGAGGAACUCCGAUUGCGCAGGCAGCUUACUAAACCAUAACUGACGCUCAGGCACGAAGGCGUGGGGAUCAAACAGGAUUAGAUACCCU